UCUUUGUUUCCACUUGGUUGAUAUCAG
rnacentral:misc_RNA from 1 species